rnacentral:rRNA from 1 species
CGGCAUGCCUUACACAUGCAAGUCGAACGGCAGCGCGGGGCAACCUGGCGGCGAGUGGCGAACGGGUGAGUAAUAUAUCGGAACGUACCCAAGAGUGGGGGAUAACGUAGCGAAAGUUACGCUAAUACCGCAUAUUCCCUGAGGGGGAAAGGAGGGGAUCCGCAAGGACCUUUCGCUUACGGAGCGGCCGAUGGCAGAUUAGGUAGUUGGUGGGAUAAAAGCUUACCAAGCCGACGAUCUGUAGCUGGUCUGAGAGGACGACCAGCCACACUGGGACUGAGACACGGCCCAGACUCCUACGGGAGGCAGCAGUGGGGAAUUUUGGACAAUGGGCGAAAGCCUGAUCCAGCCAUGCCGCGUGCAGGAUGAAGGCCUUCGGGUUGUAAACUGCUUUUGUACGGAACGAAAAGACUCCUUCUAAUAAAGGGGGUCCAA